UUAAGUAGGCAAAUCCGCUUAACGUUAGACCGAGAUCUUACAGGCUCUUGACACUCUUCGGAGGAGAUGGAGAAUCGAUGAUACUGUCGUGCCAAGAAAAGCCACUAAGUUUAUUAUAUGUUGCCCGUACCGUAAACCGACACAGGUGGGUGGGAUGAGUAUUCUAAGGCCCGUGGAAGAACCCUCUUUAUGGAACUCUGCAAAAUAGCACCGUAUCUUCGGUAUAAGGUGUGCCUACUUUGGUAUAGAAACUUGCUUUCAAAAGCUAGAGAGGUUGCAACAAAGAGUCCCUCCCGACUGUUUACCAAAAACACAGCACUUUGCUAACACGUAAGUGGAUGUAUAAGGUGUGACGCCUGCCCGGUGCUCGAAGGUUAAUUGAUGAUGUCAGCGCAAGCGAAGCAUUUGAUCGAAGCCCGAGUAAACGGCGGCCGUAACGAUAACGGUCCUAAGGUAGCGAAAUUCCUUGUCAGUUAAAUACUGACCUGCAUGAAUGGCGCAACGAGAUGGGAGCUGUCUCAAAGAGGGAUCCAGUGAAAUUGUAGUGGAGGUGAAAAUUCCUCCUACCCGCGGAAAGACGGAAAGACCCCGUGCACCUUUACUACAGCUUGACACUGUAGCUUGGAUAUUCAUGUGCAGGAUAGGUGGGAGGCUAUGAUGACUAGACGCAAGUAGAGUCGGAGCCAUCCUUGAGAUACCACCCUUGAAUAUUUGAGUUACUAACUGCGAUGAGUUAUCCUCAUUCAGGACAAUGUCUGGUGGGUAGUUUGACUGGGGCGGUCGCCUCCUAAAUAGUAACGGAGGCUUACAAAGGUUAGUUCAAAGCGGUUGGAAAUCGCUUGUUGAGUAUAAUGGCAUAAGCUAGCUUGACUGUGAGACAUACAAGUCGAACAGAGACGAAAGUCGGUCAUAGUGAUCCGGUGGUUCUGUGUGGAAGGGCCAUCGCUCAAAGGAUAAAAGGUACGCCGGGGAUAACAGGCUGAUCUCCCCCAAGAGCUCACAUCGACGGGGAGGUUUGGCACCUCGAUGUCGGCUCAUCGCAUCCUGGGGCUGUAGUCGGUCCCAAGGGUAUGGCUGUUCGCCAUUUAAAGCGGUACGCGAGCUGGGUUCAGAACGUCGUGAGACAGUUCGGUCCCUAUCUUCCGUGGGCGUAGGAAAGUUGAAGAGAUUUGUCCCUAGUACGAGAGGACCGGGAUGAACGUACCACUGGUGUACCAAUUGUUCUGCCAAGAGCAUCGUUGGGUAGCUACGUACGGAUGUGAUAAGAGCUGAAAGCAUCUAAGCUCGAAGCCAACUCUAAGAUGAACUUUCCCUGAAGUUCCCAGCAAGACUAGCUGGUUGAUAGGCUGGAUGUGUAAGCGUUGUAAGACGUUUAGCUGACCAGUACUAAUAGAACGUUUGGC
rnacentral:rRNA from 1 species